CCUAAAGCCCUCUGCUGAAUGCAGCCCGAGGCCAAGCAAUGCUGGGAGCGCUCAAGUACAUGCGAAGGAAAGAGUGGAGCUCUUGGGAGAGAGGACAGGGUGUGAGCCUUCCCGGGCUGAGCAGAUGGAGAGCUGUUUUGUCCUGCCUUACAGGGCACUUAAUUUGAUGAAUUAAUGUGAGAAGUGUUAAUGUACCAGCAAAGACAGCAGGCAGAGAUCUGUCUGCUGAUUCCCAGGCACGACUGAUUUCAACUGCUGCUGAGCAUGAUAAGACUGUGGGCAAUUAUCUUUGAGAAGGAAGUGCAGGCUGCUGGGACUCUGCUCUCGAGUGCACUGGACAGAGGCGCCCACGCUGUGAAUGGUGGCACUCAAACCCCCCUUCCAGAGGGUUUCUUUUAAAGCUCUGGAGGGUGAACCCCAUCCUGGAGCCUGCUGCAGGCUGUGAUUCUCCUGCACUGGCUGCCAAAGUGCAUCCUCCCUGCUGCGAGGGCUCUGGUCCUGCAGCAAGCAGCUCCUGAUGCUGGAGCCUGAGGAAAGAAGCUCUCAGCUCUAACACGUGCAGUUCGACCCCAGAGAGAGACCUGGAUUUGAAGACAAGUCAGAAGCUCCGUGCUCCUGUUACUGUGUUCAAAAGGCCAGGUUGAAGUGUCUGAAGGACAGAUGCUGCUUUGUUCCUGGUGUAUUUGAGUAGGCAGCUCCUUGGCUCGGGCUUUCCACACGUACCCUAUAUAAUUUUACAAAACUUAUUUAAAGGGUAUGCAGUGACAGGACAAAGGGGAAUGGCUUUGAAUGGAAAGAGUAAGUUUAGAUUGGAUAUUAGGAAGUUCUUUCCUGUGAGGGUGAUGAGGUGCUGGCACAGGCUGCCCAGAGAUGUGGAUGCCCCACCCCUGGAAGUGUUUAAGACCAGGUUGGAUUGGGGUUGGAGCAAUGUGAUUUAGUGGAAAGUUCCCUGCCCAUGGCAGGAGAGCUGGAACUAGAUAAUCUCUAAUAUCCUUUCCAAUCCAAGCCAUUCUCUGAUAGCUCUGUGGUUGGGUUCUUACAGAGUUUCUAGAAGCAGCUCUCACGUGGUCACUGUGCACUGUGAUGUGUUAAUUCUUUCACAGCAUAAAAUAACAAUCACAGUUUGCAUAUGGAAAAACACCUUUACCACUUUCUGCCUGGUUGAGCUUGUCCACAGCAGGUUCUCAAAUGAUGCAUAUUGAAAUGGAGCCACCUUGAAAUGCUUGUGUCUCAGGAGCCCUCCAAGCAGGGAGGACAAGAUUGCUCUGUUGCUUUUUUGAAAGAUAAAUGACCUGGCUGCAAGUCACAGUCUGCUCACACGAGGAGUGUUUAGUCAUUUGGCAUGAAGCAGAAUAUCUCAGCCAUUAAGGUGCUUGGGCUCUGCAGUGCAUAUAUAAGUUACAAAUUAGGCAUUCUGAGUUGGUGCUUGCCCCUUUGCAUGCAGUGCUCCAAGUGAUUACUCUUCUCUUUGUCUAAUCAAAGUUCCUCAGCUCAGAGCAGGUUUCCAAUUUAGACACUUGAGUAUAACAUAUUCCACUAAAUUAAAUCAUUGCAGAAAGCUGUGUCUCAUACACAGCAGAUUCUACCCCCACCUUAUAUAUUACCUUUUUCCUUGACACUGUAACAUAUUUUCCUCUGAAAGGUAAAUGAUUCCUGAUAUAACCUUGGCUUUACAAUAGUAUAUCUUCAAGCAACUCAUUUGAGAUGUCUUCUAGAAAUUGCCAAAAGCAGCUUGCACUUGUGGAAAUCUUACAGCGCUGCUCCAAAAAGGAGCAUUCUCUGAGUAAAUGCCCCUUUAUGAAAACAAUUGGUAGGAAAAGCAGUAAGUGGUCAUCAACACAGAGAUUUCCCCCGCAGCCCUAACAGCAUGUGCAUCUUUCCUGCACUGCCCUGGGUCUCAGCUCUUGGCAGCCCUGCCUGCAGGGUUGAAUGCAGACUUUAAGUCUGCCUUGAUGAAAAAAUCACCAAGCUACAUCUGGCUGUGAUCCAAAUGGGAGAAGGCUUUGGUUCCCUAUAUAGUCAUGGAAAGACACUUCAGGUGUCCCAGGCUGAGAAAGCUUUGAAAUGUUAAUUCUUGUGCUUGACCCAAUGAAAGGGAGAGUGCGCUGUGCUUGCUGAGAGGUGGCACCUAACAAAAGGGACAUCCUGGGGCUGAGGGAUGCGAACAGAGGGAGAGGAUGUGGCAAUGUACGUGCAGGGGGAGAAGAUUACCCUUGCCUGCAGUGAUUUAACUUAGAGCCUGACAUAACUGUGUGCUUGGGCUGUAACUCACAAACAGUGCCUUUGGAGGGUUUCUUUCUUCCUCUGCCAUGGGCAGAGACAUCUCAAUUGGCUGUACAGCAGCUGCUGAGCUGCUGCACUGGGCAGAUGAGCGCAUUAUUGCACAGCUGAUGCAACUUGGCUCGAUUUGCUGGGCUUGGAGCUGUGGCCACUCAAUAGGUGCCUGAGAUACCACAGCAUCCGUGGGAAUGGGAAUGCUGCAGCCAGCAGAUGCACUUUACGUGUAGAUUAUUGAUUACUGGGCUUAUCCUACAGGGGGAGUGAAGCAGACAUUCAUGUGCAUGAAAAUAUUCAAGGAUAUGGUUUUAAAAGAUCAGUGAAAUUGUGGCUUAAAAAGGAUUCUUGGGGGAGGAUUAUGGCAGUUAACACCUCCUGGACCUUGUGUGAAAGGGAUCAGCCCUGUGCUUUGCUCUUGGAGGGUCUCUUGUUGCCUUUUGUGAAUCAGUUUUGCCUUUUAUGGAACUCAGCUGCUUAUCACCUUGGGAAAGAGUUACAUCUUCUGCUCUGUGUUUUCAGCCAAAUUUUCCUGUGGAGAGUGGUGCUGUCUUGUCUCUUGGCUGGUAUGGGGAUGGUGGUUGGGCAAAACCUCUCUGUCCCAGCCCAAGCCUGAAGAGCCAGCAGGCAGAGGCUUGCGUACAGAGGAGCUGGCCCUUCCUCGGGGUGUGACAGGAGAGUCCAAGGGCACUGGUGUCAGGAAACACCCGUGGUUCAAGCACAGCUCGUUGCAGACCAGGGACGGGUCUGGUUUGAUCUUUCUGCCUGUUCUGUAACCCUCUGUGCACAAAGCUGGGGGAAACACGUCUGGUCUGUGCCCGGGGCAGGGAGCACCAUCAUCGCAGCAGCAGCAGCCCCGGGGAGAAGCGAUGUCCACCGGCAAGGUGGGAGCAGCAGUCAGGGUGCAGCUGGCACUGUCAGGUGAUGAGCUGCAAAUAAGAUCUUUCUCAAUAAGCAGCUAAUUUACACAGCCUUUCCAGGGUUGUUUGAUUUGGGGUUUUAUUUUUCAAUCCAAGUGAUCAACAACUCCUGGCUUCUGGAUGUGUAUGCUUCAGACGAGGGACUGCUCACAGAUCAUUGACUGGAAUUGUUCCUGCCUUCUGGUUUUGAUCUAAACCAUGCGCUGAUGAGUGAGAGAAAUAAUUUUAAGGACAAGAGGAUGGUGGGUGCCAUAUUUCUGGUGUAAACUUAAUAAGGAGGCAUGUGCUAAAACUCACGGAAAUUUUGUGAGCAUCUCUCAGAAAUGCCAAUCUCUCCUUGGCAUGUGAAUAAUCCUUAAUAAUGAAUAAAGCUGUUGAUAUACCAAAACAAAUGUGAGGGAAGAGUUUGCCAAAGGAGCAGAUGCUGUGUUGCAUCCCAUUGUAUGGUUAAAACUCCCAGAAAUUAAAUAUCCCCAAACAUUUUGCUUUUCUAUUAAGUGAGAAUUCACAGAGUUGUCUCAUUCUGCAAAAUUCUAGUUCCUCAGAAGAAGCAGAGAGCACUAGAAGUAAGACAAUAAUUUCUGUCUGUGAAAAUGGAGAUGUUCUGAAUAACUUUUUUUUGUUAGUUGGUUUUUUUAGUAGGAGAAAAGAAUUCUUUUUUUUUUCUUCAGCUUCUUUCAAUCAUUAAGUAAAUUUCUUUUGAAGCCUAGAUUUUUUUUCUUUUAUUUUUUCCUUUACUUUUCCCAGUCAGACCACUAGCUCCCCACCAACACUAUUUUAGAAGAUACUUGCAUUCCAGUGCAAAAUUACCCUGAGAGACUCCACAGAGUCUUUCCCGUCCUUGUUGCUGGGAUCAGAGUGUGAAACCCCUCCAGUGUUUUGUGUGGAAAUAAAUCAACCUUUGCAGUGUGCUGGCUGUGCCAAGACGUCCCUGUGGUUUAACCCCUGAAAUUGUCAUUUUCCCAGCGGAAGCCCAGUGCCACCUCUGCUGCUGGAAACUC